rnacentral:tRNA from 1 species
GGCUGUGGCUCAGUGGCAGAGUGCUUGCCUAGCAUGUGUGGGGCCCUGGGUUUGAUCCUUAGCACCA